rnacentral:tRNA from 1 species
GGGGGUAUAGCUCAGCUGGUAGAGCGCCAGCUUUGCAAGCUGGAUGUCUGGGGUUCGAGUCCCCAUGCCUCCACCA